rnacentral:rRNA from 1 species
UCGAGGAUCUUCGGCAAUGGGCGCAAGCCUGACCGAGCGACGCCGCGUGCGCGAUGAAGGCCUUCGGGUUGUAAAGCGCUGUCGUGGGGGAGGAAGGCCCGCACGGGCUUGACCUAUCCCAGGAGGAAGCACGGGCUAAGUUCGUGCCAGCAGCCGCGGUAAGACGAACCGUGCGAACGUUGUUCGGAAUCACUGGGCUUAAAGGGCGCGUAGGCGGGUGACCCCGUCCGGGGUGAAAGCGUCCGGCUCAACCGGACCAGGGCCUCGGAGACCGGUCAUCUGGAGGGAGGUAGGGGUCAGCGGAACUGCUGGUGGAGCGGUGAAAUGCGUUGAUAUCAGCAGGAACGCCGGUGGCGAAAGCGGCGGACUGGACCUCUUCUGACGCUGAGGCGCGAAAGCCAGGGGAGCAAACGG